CUAGGAGGCCCUCUUCUGGAGGCCAGAUCCCCAGUCCUCUAAGGGCUGGAGGUAGGUGGCUUGGGAUGGAAGCUGCUGGAAGGAAAGACAGUUUAUUCUUGGAAGCCAGGGUGCACAGUAGCCUGUGGGAUAUGGAGAAGGCUCUGUGGGGUUAGGUGAGGCACAAAAGACUCCUGCAACCUCUUCCCUUCCCCUGGUGGCUGGGAAAGCAGCUCCAUGGAGCCUCACUGGAGGUUCUUUAGCCAUAGCUAGGCUAAGAGGACAUGAACCCCCUUAGGAUAAGCCAAGUAGAGCUUCCUUUCAAAUCAAAUCGUAGCUUUCAUUUUCUCUUCCACAAGAAGGGGAAAACAAUAGUAAUGGACUCAUAGGUUUAGUCAAUGAAUAUUUUUUAAGCAAGUAAAAUCAUGACUACAGACACAAAAUGAAUUUGUCUCACAUUUUACCUAGCUCAUUAAGUAAGGGAGACAGGAAGAUGUUACAAGAGGUCUAAAGAGGGGGAAAAAAAAGCAGGGCUAUUUACAGAUUUAUAAAAUGGCUCCAAGAUUAUGAAGGAGCAGACAGACCCCUCUUAGAUUCUGAAUGAGAACCAGAAGGGCGUGCUCUAGUUUUUCAGUGAAGCACACAAUUUUCCCUGGAGUUGGUUCUGAGGAUUAAGAGUUCUUGCAGGUGGGCAUUUAGGAUGUUAUAAGCCAAGGUAAGCAUUGACCAAAAGAGCUAGUAUCUUUGGGGAAAACUGGAAGUGGACAGAGAAGGGCAUCCCCUGAGGCCGGAAGAGGAGGAUGAGAGAAGUGUGUCACUCAGGUUUUUAGGACGAGGAAACAAAAUCAGAGAGGAUAGGAAACCUGUCCAAAGUCAUAUGGCUGAUAAGAGGCAGAGUGAAGACUGGACCUGAGCAAGUUUGGUGUAGAAGCCUGUGCUCUUAACUGCCAUCCUAGAUUCUUUCUUAAGACUUCUUCUGAGGAUCAGCCUCAUACAAAAGGGUAAUGGUGGCAGCAGCUCCAGAACUCAUAUCAUAUCCUCCCAUGUUAAAGUCAAAUGAGAAAAGUCUGUCUUCGCCCCAGGAUUCCCAGCGAUGCCUCCUGAUGUGUCAUUGGCUCGGAUUGCAUCAUGUGCCCUCCGUGGACUUUGUCCAGAUGAAUGUUUUAGAUUCCUUGUCCCCAGUUACCUCAUCUUUAAAAUGAAGACAAGACUCAGAGUUGGCUUUCCAGGAACUGAAGACACAUUUUGUAGAAGUUGAUGGAUUAAGAAAAAGAAGUUGCAUUUUAUUACCUAUCCUAAAGAUAGAAGGUGAUCUGAACAUUCUAAUAUCACUUGCCAAGACUGUUGGAGCAUGGGGAAGAGAGGUUCCUCGCAUGACUGACAGCUUAGAAGCCAGAGGUCAAGGGAGCCUAUCGAUCAAUGCACUCCACGCAAAUAUGUCCCAGGAGCAGGAUAGAACAAGGGCUGCUCCAGAUGUCCUAUCUCCUGUUUAUCUGCUGAGAUGCAACUGCCAUAUGCCCAGUGGAACUUGCUCCCUUUGUACCUUGAGGAUGGACAUUUCCUUGAUGGCUGUUGCUGAUGCUGCUGUGACUGCACUGGCCUUCAUGACACAAGGUGGAAGCAAAUGAAGUCAACUCAUGAAGCUAAAAUUUGGGUAGACAAAGCCAAAUAGACACAUCCAAGAAGAUUUAGUCCAACUUGAUCUAGCAUCAACUGAAAAAAAGAUAUGAAAAGCAGAACUGAAAUAAUACAGGACCUCUUUGCAGGGAUCCCCAAGGUUCUAACUGGAAUAUUAAUUGGCCUAAAAUCUAACAUUAUAAACAAAGAAAACCAGAAUCUGUUCUUGAUUUUAGGGACCAUCUAGUCUGUCCCAAACUUGUAAGGACUAUUCAGACUUACUAGAGGGUAAAGACAUUCCUACUGUCCUCCCUAAUUUCUGUACAGACAUUCAAUAAAUUUUAAUAAGUAGCAUAAUAAAGAAAAAACAGAACUCCGGCUGGCCAUUUGCUUAGAACUCUGACUGGCCAUUUGCUUUUUUUUUUUUUCUUUUUUUGGAGAUGGAGUCUCACUCAGUCACCCAGGCUGGAGUGCAAAGGCGCGAUCUCACCUCACUGUAACCUCAGCCUCCCGGGUUCAAGCAAUUCUCCCAUCUCAGCCUCUCGAGAAGUUGGGAUUACAGACACCACCAUCCUGACCAGCUAAUUUUUGUAUUUUUGUAGAGACAGGGUUUCACCAUGUUGGCCGGGCUGGUCUUGAACUCCCACCUCGGCCUCCCAAAGUGCUGGGAUUACAGGCAUGAGCCACAGCACCCUGUGGCCACUUGCUUCUUUAGGUGAAUUCUAGGAGUUAGCAGAACGUCGGAGCCUAGAAUUGAUCAAAGAAAGGAAAAACUCAGGCAUAACUAAUGGUCCUUCUAAUUAAAUAAUUAGAAAACUCAUGAAAUAAAAGUGAUCCCAUAGCUAAGUGAAAAAUAGAUAAAGGCACUUGACAACAUUGUAAGGCAAAAGGCAUUGGAAAAUUAAUUGCCUGGUAUUGGCUCAAUGCUGCAGAAACAAGAAGUAGGAUGAGGUCCUUUCCCUAAAUGAGGAUCGUGCAAAUAAGUAGUGUUUUCUCUAUGCCCACAUUUACCACUGUCUUCCAGAGGGAAAAUAUCUGUACAGAAGACUCCUUUCCUAGUGCACAAAAGAAUCAUAAUUUGAAUAAUAAUCCUGCCACCAUUUGGUCGCCUUUUCUUUGUAGUAAUUUUACUAACUCAGUGAAUGCAAUUUCAAUCACUCUUUAAACUCUGCCUUUGACACAUCCGUUUUCUGUUUCCUUAGAUGACUCAUUAGUUAGAAUGCCUUUUUGACCCCAUUAAUCUUGUGGGAAGAUAUUUACUACGUAUAUUAAGUGCCUUGAUUAAUUGUGAACAAGAUGGUUUCUUGCUGGAAAUCCCAGAAGAAGAAUCCCCAGCCAUUUGAUGGCACAGAUUGAUUACCCACUUUCUAAUACUUCCCCUAUUAUUAUAGUAGACCUUGAGUCUGCCCCACAUAAUCUCUGGGACAAAGACAACUCAGAUGUGGGACGCAUAUACUAAACCUUAAAAGUCUCAAUUGAACUGGUUGUGUCUUUAUGAGAGUUAGCUCCAUACUCACUGAAAUAAAUGGUGGCCCAUCCUAUUUUUACACCCACAUAGAAGACUUGUCAUCCCCCAUGCUAUCUCUUGCAAUGCUUCCUUCUGCCUGUCAAAUAGGCAAAUGGGUGAGGACAUCACUCUAUACAAAACAAGAGCUAUUGAUAGAAGUGGACUUCUUUACUUCCAACCCUAAUUAGGCUGCCAACCCUAAUAUCACUCUAUUAUCAAUCCCUGAGACAGAUGUUUAUUUUAUAAUAGAAUCUAUUCUUAGCAUUAGGGCCAACUUCAUUUGCAAGCGAUCUGUGCAGUUGCCCAAGUCUACACACUUAGAAGGGCCCUGUGCUUUGUUCCCAGCUGCUGCCACCAUCUUGAAUUUCUUAAUAAUUUGUGAACCAGGAGCCCCACAUUUUCAUUUGUACUGGGGCCACAAAUUAAGUAUCCAGUCGUGGUCAGUAUUCUUUAGCAUACUGUACCAUCUUGUACCUAGAUUCACACUAUCAAUUUACAUACAUAGUGGGAAGAUAACAAAAUAUAUGGACAGUAAUUGGCCAAGGCUUUAGAGAAGUGCUCUCUUGCAUUUCUUCCAUCGCCUUAGAGAUAUUUAAUUUCCUGAGAUUGCCACCACCCUUUUGUAAUAUGUAAAUGACCUUCUGGUGUGCUCCCCGGAUUCCAAAUGCAUUACCUAGAUCAUGAUAGUACAAAAAUGGAACAGCUGAUCACCAGAUAUCAUAUACAUCUAGAUUCGUAGCUCUUAUCUAUGAUUUGGCUACUUUUUAGGUUGAUAUGGCCAAAACCCUAUAAUGGGUUAAUCUAAUUUACUCAAGUUUAUAAUCAACAGGGGCAGACUCCUUUUCUGAAGGAUUAACUGCAGGAACCACUCCGUGCCUUUCAGCUUGGAGACUUGGUUUAUGGAAAAUGACACCAACGUAAGAAUACUCUUGAACCUCCUAUAACCUGAUAAACACAACACGGCAGGAAAUCUUCAAAAACUAGAAUCUUGUCAGGUUCCUCAGUUAAAAAGACAUUACAGAUUGCAUUAAAAUUAAAAAUGUUUGCUCUGUGAAAGACCCUAUGAAGAGGAUGAAGUGACAAGCUACAGAUUGGAUAAAAGUAUUUGCAAACCACAUAUUCAACAAAAAACUUAUAUCUAAAAUAUGUAAAAAGAAUUUCAAAACUCAACAGAAAAACAAAAACAAUUCAAUUAGAAAAUGGACAAAAGAUAAGAACAGACAUUUAACUAAAAAGGACAAACAGAUGGCAAAUAAGCAAAUGAAAAGAUGUUUAGCAUCAUUAACUAUUAGAAAAAUGCAAAUUAAAACCACAAUGAUAUGUCAUUACACACCUAUCAAAAUGGCUAAAAUAAAAAACAAUUAGUGCUAACCUCGAAUGUGGUGUGGAUGUAGAGAAAUUGAGCCACCAAUACAGUGCUAGUGAAAUUAUAAAAUGGUACAGCCAUUCUGGAAAAUAGCUUGUUAGCAAUAAAAAGUAAUUAACUAUCAGUACAUUCAAUAGCUUGAAUAAAUGUAGAGGUAAUUAUGCUGAUUGAAAAAAAGCCGAUCCAAAAGGCUUUGGAUUCUAUGCGAUUGGAUUUAUAUGAUUCUAUAUAUAAUAUACAUAGUUAUAUACUGUAUAGUUUCAUGUAUAUAACAUUCUCGUAAUGAGGAAAGUUUAGAAAUGGAGAAGAUAUUCGUAGCUACCAGGGGAGCUGACCUGGGUGGGGGAGAUAAGUGGGUGUGCCUGUAAAAAGAUACUACCAGGGUCCUAGAAAUAAUAAAACCUUGACUGUAUUAAUGUAAAUAUCCUGGUUUGACUUUUUACUAGAGAUUUGCAAGACGUUACCAUUGAGGGAAACUGAGAAAGGCGUUCACAGGAUGUUUCUGUAGUGUUCCUUACAACUGCAUGAGAAAAAUAAUGAUCUCAACAUAAAAAGUUUAAAAAAGUCUCCUUAUUCCCUUGAAAUUGUUCCCAUACUACAUCUUAGAAACUGAUUUAUCUGACUUUUGAUUUUGCCAGUAUUCCAAUCAAGAAAGGUUCAAGCUAGUAAUUCAGAAAUUUUGAAAUAAGAUGUACAAAGUUGUCCAUUAAAUUUCAAAUUCAAGUUGUAAUUCCAGCUAUGCUUAUGGUCUGAUAAUUAAUAGGGGCUGUUAAGUUAAGCAAUUAAUUAUGUCUUAGUAGCUUAUUAUUAAUAAUCUCUGUUCAGCUCCAGUUUCUUACUACGGGCAACAGUACUAUAUUUAAAUACUUUGGCUGACCUUCCUUUUUAUUUAGCAGAUGUAAGGUUAUUAAAGUAGUUAUGAAGAAAUAUGACACCUUUGGUUGACCUGAUCAUUGGUAUCUUUGAUUCACUAAAGAAAUAAUUAUCCUGGCUGGCAUUUAAAGCAAUGUUUUCCACUUGAAGAAGAAACCAGUGCCCUCUUGCAGGAGUAGUGCAGUGCUACAGAAACAAAUGAUCUUGUUUAGAGACACUGUAAAAAAGAUUAAAUGGCUCAGGGUGCAGUGACACUUGCGGCGUGGUAGAAAGAAUGUACUUAAUUCCACUACUUAUAACUGAUGAUCAGCUAUGUCUCAAAUUCUGUGAAGAAAUUAUUUUUUUGUCUGUAAACAUGCAAAAACCAAGAUUAGCUAAGGCAGUUUUGAACAAUGCAAGCGUGGUAAGAGUACUUGCUCUACCAAUUAGAAAGACUUACCAUAAAGCUACCACAAUUAAGCAAUGAAGGAUUUGUACACAAAUGGACCAAAAGUGAAGGCCUUUCUGUUGAGGAUCUCUCUCUCUUUAUUCCCUUCCUUUCUCAUUGAUUACUUAUUUUCUCCAUUUUUAAAAUCUUUCUCGGACAUGUUAAUAUUGGAACUCAGACUUCAGAUCUCUCUUCUCAACACUCAUUUUUAAGUGAUUUCAGUGUUCUGACUUUAAAUAUCAUCUCUACACUUAUAACUCCCAAUUUUACAUCUUCAGCGUAGCCCUCUUUCAGUUGCCCAUACAAGUCCCUAUCAGACAGCAAAUAGCCAUCUCAAAUGUAAUGCGUCCAAAAUAAAAUUCGGAUUUCACUUCCAGGUCAGACACCGCCAUUUGUCUACUGGUAUUUAUUCUCUCUGUGUUCCUUUUAUUUUAUUUUUCAGAGACAAGGUCUUUUUCUUACCCAGGCUGGAAUGCAGAGAUGCAAUCACAUUUCACUGUAGCUUUGGACUUCUGGGCUGAAGCCAUCCUCCCUACUCAGCCUCUUGAGUAGCUAGAACUACAGGUGUGCACCACCCUGCUGGGCUAUUUUUUCUAAUUUUGUAGAGAGGGGUCUUGCUAUGUUGUCUAGGCUGGUCUCAAACUCCUGGCCUCAAGAGAGCCCCCCAUAUAAGCCUCUUGAAGUGUUGAGAUUACAGACAUAAGCCACCAUGUCUAGCCAUCUACCUUGCUUUUUUUUUUCUUAACAGAAACUCCAUAGUUUUCACCAAACACAUGGCCAUAGAGUUAGAGGUGUUUAUAUCAUUAUCGUUUCAUUCAGCUAACUGUUGAUAUAAGACAAAACUAGGAUCACUAGGAUGUCAAGGGAAGUGGUUUGUAUAGCCUCCAGAUUAUCUCCUUAAAGAUGAAGCUAUUUGUUCUGAGAUUUGUUUUUCUCCCUGCUGUGGACUGGGAUUGAGAUAUGGAAGUGAGCCAGUUCUCCUCAUGAGCAACAGGACAACUCUCUGGAAAACUGUAGCAAUAGGAUUGGUAGAAAUUUAGGUCGCCAAAUGACUCCUGGAGCAAAACCACCUUGCCAUCCCUGGAUGGCAUUUUCCUGGGAAGUUUCAUGAGAUAAAAAUAAGCCUCUGACUUAGUUGAAUCACUGUAUCUGUGGGGUCUUUAUUCUAGGACUGUAGACUGUACUAUAAUUCAUACAGCCCCAAAACCUGGUCUUGCCUCAUUUUUCUUCAUUCUUGACUCUUUUCACAUCCCAUAUGCAAGACUUCAGUACAUUCUGUUGUGUCUUUCUUCCAAAUAAAUACAAAAUCUAUUUUUGAUUACCUACUCCCUUUGUCUAAAUUAUCAUCAUCUCUUACCUGGAUUACUGCAGCAGUCUCCUAACUUGGCUCUUUUUAUACUUUUAUCUUCCCCAAAUCUAUUUUCAACCUAGCAGUUGUAGUGUUCUUCUGAAACAUGUCAAAUCAUGUUACCCUUGUACUUAAUUCCCUCCAAUGGCUUUUACCUUACUCUAAGUGAAAUACAACAUCAAGAGCUUUACUUCUACCUCUGUAACUCAUUUUCUAUCACUCAUCCAGUUACUUGUACCUUUCCAGUGCUUUUGGACAAAUUACUGAGAAUAUUUCCAGCUCAGGAAUCUAAAUUUGCCUGAAAUUGUUUCGUCUAAGAUAUCCACAUGGCUCAUUCCAUCACUUCCUUUAGAUUCUGCCUUAGGCAUCAUCUUCUCAGUGAGUUCUUUUCUAUAAAAUGUCAAUUCCACAUUUCCGGGCACUACAUAUUUUAAUGUUACCCUAGUUUAUUGUUCUCCAUAGCACUUAUCAGUACUUGACUUGUAAUUAGACUAUAUUUUUAGGUUUUUAUGAGGACUUUUUUAUGUAAGCUCUAUGAGGACAGGUUAUUUUGUUUAGUUAGUUCCCAGUUCUUUGCUAUAUUCUCUGCCUGAAUCAUAGUAAUCGCUCAAUAAAUACUGCUUGAAUGAAUUGGAUAAGUGAUCAUGAACGUCUACUCAAUUAGAUAGGAAACAACCAGCCGGGUGCGGUGGCUCACGCCUGUAAUCCCAACACUUUGGUAGGCCGAGGCGGGCGGAUCACGAGGUCAGGAGAUAGGGACCAUCCUGGCUAACACGGUGAAACCCCGUCUCUACUCAAAAUACAAAAAAUUAGCCGGUCGUAGUGGCGGGCACCUGUAGUCCCAGCUACUCAGGAGGCUGAGGCAGGAGAAUGGCGUGAACCUGGGAGGUGGAGCUUGCAGUGAGACAAGAUGGCUCCACUGCACUCCACCCUGGGCGACAGAGCGAGACCACCUCUCAAAAAAAAAAAGAAAAAAGAUAAAUAAAUAAAAAUAGAUAGAUAUGAAACAACUAUCAUAAGUGAUAUUUCUGAAAAAUAUUUAAUUUUAUAAAAAUAACAACAAAGUGCUAAUUUUUAAACAGAAGAAUAUUUAAGUAAGAGUAACUUGAUAGGCCAGGCGUGGUGGCUCACACUUUUACUCCCAGCACUUUGGGUGGCCAAGUCGGGCGGAUCAUGAGGUCAGAGGCACGAGACCAGCCUGGCCAACAUAGUGAAACCCCGUCUCCACUAAAAAUACAAAAAUUAGCCAGGUGUGGUGGCUGGCGCCUGUAAUCCCAGCUACUCGGGAGGCUGAGACAGGAGAAUCGCUUGAACAGGGAGGCAGAGGAUGCGGUGAGCUGAGAUUGCACCGUUGUACUCCAGCCCGGGCGACAGCGAGAGACUCAGACUCACAAAAACAAAACAAAACAAAACAGAACAAAGCAAAACAAAACAAAACAAAGGAGUAACUUGAUAAAAAGUAUACAUAUUUAUGUAGGAAACAUUGGAUUGAUGUAAUAGUCACUGUUAUUCAAAUUUACUGUCUUCCAGAGAAUGUUUAAAUGCAUUGUCUCAUUUAAUACUUAUCCCAUGUAAUACUUUUUGAAUUGGAUUCUAUUGCUGUACUUUUUAUUCAAGUAACAAAACAAAUGUCUCACAGUUCAGUAACUUGCCAAAGAUUGAACAAUUAAAAUCUGCCUCACCAGUACUGGCUUCUAAACCUUAUCUCUAUGCUGCCUCUGAAGGAUAGAUUCAAAAUAUUAGCAGUGGUUUUGUUUAUUAAUAGGCUUAUAAUAUAUUGCCAUUUAAUGCUGUUCAUACUUUAUAUUAAUGUUAAAUUAAAAUAAAGAC
rnacentral:lncRNA from 10 species